rnacentral:rRNA from 1 species
AUACAAGGAUUGGGUUUGGCAUUUUUAGAAGAUUUUUUUACGGAAGAAGAUCAAGUUUUUUCUUUGAUGUUCAGCAAAACAACUCUUUUUUCUUUCUGUGGAUCACACAUUGAGCGUAUUUAGUAUUUGGAUAUUAUGUGUAUCAAUGACCUGGUCAACCCUCUUAAUUAA